UACAGAGGUCUCAAGCGUUUGUUCGGAUUCAUUGGGCGUAAAGAGCUCGUAGGCGGCUUGUCGCGUCGUCCGUGAAAACCUGCAGCUCAACUGCAGGCUUGCGGUCGAUACGGGCAGGCUAGAGUUCGGUAGGGGAGACUGGAAUUCCUGGUGUAGCGGUGAAAUGCGCAGAUAUCAGGAGGAACACCUAUUGCGAAGGCAGCUCGCUGGGACGUAACUGACGCUGAGACGCGAAAGCGUGGGGAGCAAACAGG
rnacentral:rRNA from 1 species